AAACUUUCCAAUUCAUUAGCGUGUGAGAAGGGAACCCUGAGUGAUUAUGCACAGCAUAAUCUUUUCUUUAGUCCAAAAAGCUAGAGGAAUAAGUGGUGGGCAAAACAGGUGCCAGCCGCCGCGGUAAUACCUGCGCCACAAAUGGUGAUCACGAUUAUUGGGUCUAAAGCGUCCGUAGCUGGUUAUCAAGUUCCUGGUGAAAUCUGGCAGCAAACUGUCAGGCAUGCUGGGAAA
rnacentral:rRNA from 1 species